GAAUCCGCYAAGGAGUGUGUAACAACUCACCUGCCGAAUGAAUUAGCCCUGAAAAUGGAUGACGCUUAAGCGAGUUGCCGACACCCGGCCGUCUGGGUAAGUGGUCAAAUAUAAAUUAUCGGUAAUUCCAGAUGAGUAGGAGGGCGCGGCGGUUGUGUCGAAGCGCGGGUGCGAACUUGCGUGGAACGGCCGCUGGUGCAGAUCUUGGUGUUAGUAGCAAAUAUUCAAAUGAGAACCUUGAAGGGCGAAGCGGGGAAGGGUUCCACGCGAACAUUGAUUGAGCGUGGGUGAGUCGUUCCUAAACCGAGUGGUAAUAGCUAAGUAUCGGUGAAAGGGAAGCCGGUUGACAUUCCGGCACACGAGUGUUUGAAAUUUGCGGUGACGCACCAAUCAUGAGGCAAUGACGCCGGCGAUGGAUCUGGGCAGAGUUUUCUUUUCUGUUUGACCGUUCCUAUUACGUACUCUGUGGAAUCCGCUUGUCGGGAGAAACAGGUAUAGUUUGGGCAGAGCGCCGGGGCUUUUCCGGCGUCCAGAUCUCUAUCGACGGCCCUUGAAAAAUUGUCUGCUGGCAAAAUAUGAAAAAGUUUGAAAUAUAUUUUGUGGUAAUAUUUCGCACCGUAACGUACCCAUAACCGCAUCAGGUCCCCAAGGUGAACAGCCUCUGCUCAGUAUGAAGAAUGCAGGUAAGGGAAGUCGGCA
rnacentral:rRNA from 1 species